rnacentral:misc_RNA from 1 species
GAUGAAGAACGCAGCGAAAUGCGAUAAGUAAUGUGAAUUGCAGAAUUCAGUGAAUCAUCGAAUCUUUGAACGCACAUUGCGCCCGCCAGUAUUCUGGCGGGCAUGCCUGUUCGAGCGUCAUUUCAACCAUCAAGCCCCAGGCUUGUGUUGGGGACCUGCGGCUGCCGCAGGCCCUGAAAACCAGUGGCGGGCUCGCUGUCACACCGGGCGUAGUAGAUUUUAUCUCGCUCAGGGCGUGCUGCGGGUUCCGGCCGUUAAAAAGCCUUUUUUACCCAAGGUUGACCUCGGAUCAGGUAGGAAGACCCGCUGAACUUAAGCACAUCAAUAAGCGGAGGA